AAAAUUUAAAAAAUUUGGCGGUAUUUUAGUCUAUUCAGAGGAAUCUGUCCUGUAAUUGAUAGUCCACAUUGAACCUUACUUAAAUUUGUUUAAUUUGUAUAUCGCCGUCAUCAGAAUAUAUUAUAAGAUAAAAUUUUCUUAAUAUUUUAAUAAAAUAAUAUGUCA
rnacentral:rRNA from 1 species